rnacentral:rRNA from 1 species
UGCCUAGGAAUCUGCCUGGUAGUGGGGGAUAACGUCCGGAAACGGACGCUAAUACCGCAUACGUCCUACGGGAGAAAGCAGGGGACCUUCGGGCCUUGCGCUAUCAGAUGAGCCUAGGUCGGAUUAGCUAGUUGGUGGGGUAAUGGCUCACCAAGGCGACGAUCCGUAACUGGUCUGAGAGGAUGAUCAGUCACACUGGAACUGAGACACGGUCCAGACUCCUACGGGAGGCAGCAGUGGGGAAUAUUGGACAAUGGGCGAAAGCCUGAUCCAGCCAUGCCGCGUGUGUGAAGAAGGUCUUCGGAUUGUAAAGCACUUUAAGUUGGGAGGAAGGGCAGUAAAUUAAUACUUUGCUGUUUUGACGUUACCGACAGAAUAAGCACCGGCUAACUCUGUGCCAGCAGCCGCGGUAAUACAGAGGGUGCAAGCGUUAAUCGGAAUUACUGGGCGUAAGCGCGCGUAGGUGG